UGGCUUUGUCCUAAGUGAAACUUGUCUAACUUUAACCAAAUAUUUGGAAGAAUAUAUUAAUAUCUACAAGCUCAAAUAAAUGCACCAUCAAACAUCAUAGAAAGUUUAAUUAAACAAAAUUUGAUGUUAUAAAUGUUGAUGCAUUUUUCUAUAAACUUGGUUGGAGUUAGAGAAGUUUGAAUUAGGAUAAGCCAAA
rnacentral:pre_miRNA from 1 species